GAUGAACGCUGGCGGCGUGCCUAACACAUGCAAGUCGAGCGGCAGCGAGGGGUGCUUGCACCCUGUCGGCGAGCGGCGGACGGCUGAGUAACGCGUGGGAACGUGCCCCAAAGUGAGGAAUAACUGCCCGAAAGGGUAGCUAAUACCGCAUAUUAUCUUCGGAUCAAAGGAUUUAUCCGCUUUGGGAGCGGCUCGCGUCGGAUUAGGUAGUUGGUGAGGUAAUGGCUCACCAAGCCGACGAUCCGUAGCUGGUCUGAGAGGAUGACCAGCCAGACUGGAACUGAGACACGGUCCAGACUCCUACGGGAGGCAGCAGUGAGGAAUCUUCCACAAUGGGCGAAAGCCUGAUGGAGCAACGCCGCGUGCAGGACGAAGGCCUUCGGGUUGUAAACUGCUUUUAUAAGUGAGGAAUAUGACGGUAACUUAUGAAUAAGGAUCGGCUAACUACGUGCCAGCAGCCGCGGUCAUACGUAGGAUCCGAGCGUUAUCCGGAGUGACUGGGCGUAAAGAGUUGCGUAGGCGGUUGUAUAAGUGAAUAGUGAAAUCUGGUGGCUCAACCAUACAGGCUAUUGUUCAAACUGUACAACUUGAGAGUGGUAGAGGUCACUGGAAUUUCUUGUGUAGGAGUGAAAUCCGUAGAUAUAAGAAGGAACACCAAUGGCGUAGGCAGGUGACUGGACCAUUUCUGACGCUAAGGCACGAAAGCGUGGGGAGCGAACCGG
rnacentral:rRNA from 1 species